CCUACGGGAUGCAGCAGUGGGGAAUAUUGGGCAAUGGGCGCAAGCCUGACCCAGCAACGCCGCGUGAAGGAAGAAGGCUUUCGGGUUGUAAACUUCUUUUGUCAGGGAAGAGUAGAAGACGGUACCUGACGAAUAAGCCACGGCUAACUACGUGCCAGCAGCCGCGGUAAUACGUAGGUGGCAAGUGUUGUCCGGAUUUACUGGGUGUAAAGGGCGUGUAGCCGGGUUGACAAGUCAGAUGUGAAAUCCUGCGGCUUAACCGCAGAAAUGCAUUUGAAACUGUUGAUCUUGAGUACUGGAGAGGCAGACGGAAUUCCUAGUGUAGCGGUGAAAUGCGUAGAUAUUAGGAGGAACACCAGUGGCGAAGGCGGUCUGCUGGACAGCAACUGACGGUGAGGCGCGAAAGCGUGGGGAGCAAACAGGAUUAGAUACCCGGGUAGUC
rnacentral:rRNA from 1 species